rnacentral:rRNA from 1 species
AUUGAACGCUGGCGGAAUGCUUUACACAUGCAAGUCGAGCGGCAGCGCGGCCUUCGGGCUGGCGGCGAGCGGCGAACGGGUGAGUAAUGCAUCGGAACAUGCCCAGUCGUGGGGGAUAACACUUCGAAAGAAGUGCUAAUACCGCAUACGUCCUGAGGGGGAAAGCGGGGGAUCGCAAGACCUCGCGCGAUUGGAGUAGCCGAUGUCAGAUUAGCUAGUUGGUGGGGUAAAGGCCUACCAAGGCGACGAUCUGUAGCUGGUCUGAGAGGAUGAUCAGCCACACUGGAACUGAGACACGGUCCAGACUCCUACGGGAGGCAGCAGUGGGGAAUAUUGGACAAUGGGCGCAAGCCUGAUCCAGCCAUACCGCGUGGGUGAAGAAGGCCUUCGGGUUGUAAAGCCCUUUUGUUGGGAAAGAAAAGCAGCAGGUUAAUACCCCGCUGUUCUGACGGUACCCAAAGAAUAAGCACCGGCUAACUUCGUG